AUUGAACGCUGGCGGCAGGCCUAACACAUGCAAGUCGAGCGGAUGACGAGAGCUUGCUCCUUGAUUCAGCGGCGGACGGGUGAGUAAUGCCUAGGAAUCUGCCUGGUAGUGGGGGACAACGUUUCGAAAGGAACGCUAAUACCGCAUACGUCCUACGGGAGAAAGCAGGGGACCUUCGGGCCUUGCGCUAUCAGAUGAGCCUAGGUCGGAUUAGCUUGUUGGUGAGGUAAUGGCUCACCAAGGCGACGAUCCGUAACUGGUCUGCGAGGAUGAUCAGUCACACUGGAGCUGAGACACGGUCCAGACUCCUACGGGAGGCAGCAGUGGGUAAGAUUGGACAAUGGGCGAAAGCCUGAUCCAGCCAUGCCGCGUGUGUGAAGAAGGUCUUCGGAUUGUAAAGCACUUUAAGUUGGGAGGAAGGGUUGUAGAUUAAUACUCUGCAAUUUUGACGUUACCGACAGGAUAAGCACCGGCUAACUCUGUGCCAGCAGCCGCAGUAACAC
rnacentral:rRNA from 1 species